GGCUCAGGAUGAACGCUAGCUACAGGCUUAACACAUGCAAGUCGUGGGGCAGCAUGACUGAAGCUUGCUUCAGUUGAUGGCGACCGGCGCACGGGUGAGUAACGCGUAUCCAACCUUCCCAUGACAGGGGAAUAACCUUGCGAAAGUAAGACUAAUGCCCCAUGGUCUCCGACGACGGCAUCAGACUCGGAGUAAAGGCGUGAGCCGGUGAUGGAUGGGGAUGCGUCCGAUUAGCUUGACGGCGGGGUAACGGCCCACCGUGGCACCGAUCGGUAGGGGUUCUGAGAGGAAGGUCCCCCACAUUGGAACUGAGACACGGUCCAAACUCCUACGGGAGGCAGCAGUGAGGAAUAUUGGUCAAUGGGCGCAAGCCUGAACCAGCCAAGUAGCGUGAGGGACGACGGCCCUAUGGGUCGUAAACCUCUUUUAUGCGGGGAUAACCGGUGCCACGCGUGGCGCCCUGCAGGUACCGCAUGAAUAAGGACCGGCUAAUUCCGUGCCAGCAGCCGCGGUAAUACGGAAGGUCCGGGCGUUAUCCGGAUUCAUUGGGUUUAAAGGGAGCGUAGGCCGCCUCUUAAGCGUGUUGUGAAAUGUAGGGGCUCAACCCCUGCACUGCAGCGCGAACUGGAGGGCUUGAGUACACGCAAGGCAGGCGGAAUUCGUGGUGUAGCGGUGAAAUGCUUAGAUAUCACGAAGAACCCCGAUUGCGAAGGCAGCUUGCCGGAGUGUAACUGACGCUGAAGCUCGAAAGCGCGGGUAUCGAACAGGAUUAGAUACCCUGGUAGUCCGCGCGGUAAACGAUGGAUGCCCGCUGUGUGCCAAUCUGAUAUGCGGCCAAGCGAAAGCGUUAAGCAUCCCACCUGGGGAGUACGCCGGCAACGGUGAAACUCAAAGGAAUUGACGGGGGCCCGCACAAGCGGAGGAACAUGUGGUUUAAUUCGAUGAUACGCGAGGAACCUUACCCGGGCUUGAAUUGCAGCGGAAGGAAGCAGAGAUGCUGACGCCCUCCGGGGCCGCUGUGAAGGUGCUGCAUGGUUGUCGUCAGCUCGUGCCGUGAGGUGUCGGCUUAAGUGCCAUAACGAGCGCAACCCCUCUCCGUAGUUGCCUUCGGGUGAUGCCGGGCACUCUGCGGACACUGCCACCGUAAGGUGCGAGGAAGGUGGGGA
rnacentral:rRNA from 1 species